UACGUAGGGUGCGAGCGUUGUCCGGAAUUACUGGGCGUAAAGAGCUCGUAGGUGGUUUGUCGCGUUGUCCGUGAAAACUCACAACUCAAUUGUGGGCGUGCGGGCGAUACGGGGCAGACUGGAGUACUGCAGGGGAGACUGGAAUUCCUGGUGUAGCGGUGGAAUGCGCAGAUAUCAGGAGGAACACCGGUGGCGAAGGCGGGUCUCUGGGACGGUACUGGACGCUGAGACGCGAAAGCGUGGGGAGCGAACAGG
rnacentral:rRNA from 1 species